rnacentral:tRNA from 1 species
UGGGGAGUCGCCAAGCGGUAAGGCACCGGAUUUUGAUUCCGGCAUUCGUAGGUUCGAUUCCUACCUCCCCAG